CCUGGGGCGCCUGCUGCUGCUGCUGCUGCUGCUGCUUGAGGGACAUGGCGAAGGGGCCGGGCCGGGCGCGCGCCGGGGCCUGCUGCGCUCGCUCGCUCGCUCGCUGCUCCGGAGCCGCCGCUGUCUCGGCCGCUGGCUCCCAAACAGUGCCUGAAUAAUGAUGGUGGCGGCAUUAUUGGCUGGGUGACAGUAGAUGCUAACUGAAAUGGACACAGAAGAAAGAAUUCUUUAUAUUUAAUUGGAAAUGCUUGCACUGUGCGGAGCCAGAAAUUUAAAGCUCUCUCUUUUCUCCCCUUUUUAGUACGUUUUGUGGCCAACUAGUGAUUUCAUAACCGCAGAAAUUGAAAAUCAUGAACAUCAAGUAUUUAUGCAGUUUGUGGAAGAGACUUCUGUAUGCAGUGUUGGAGACCACUAAAGUUACCCCGGCACAGGUUUCAAUGACAUUUGCAGCAAAAUUAGUCUUAUGCCAAAACGCUGCAACGCACCUGGUGCCUGCUACUAGAGAUGAUCUUGAGCCUUAAAUAUUUU